rnacentral:rRNA from 1 species
GGGGAAUUUUCCGCAAUGGGCGAAAGCCUGACGGAGCAACGCCGCGUGAGGGAUGAAGGCCUCUGGGCUGUAAACCUCUUUUCUCAGGGAAGAAGACAUGACGGUACUUGAGGAAUAAGCCACGGCUAAUUCCGUGCCAGCAGCCGCGGUAAUACGGGAGUGGCAAGCGUUAUCCGGAAUUAUUGGGCGUAAAGCGUCCGCAGGCGGCCUUUUAAGUCUGUUGUUAAAGCGUGGAGCUCAACUCCAUUUCGGCAAUGGAAACUGGAGGGCUGGAGUGUGGUAGGGGCAGAGGGAAUUCCCGGUGUAGCGGUGAAAUGCGUAGAUAUCGGGAAGAACACCAGUGGCGAAGGCGCUCUGCUGGGCCAUAACUGACGCUCAUGGACGAAAGCCAGGGGAGCGAAAGGGAUUAGAUACCCCUGUAGUCCUGGCCGUAAACGAUGAACACUAGGUGUCGGGGGAAUCGACCCCCUCGGUGUCGUAGCCAACGCGUUAAGUGUUCCGCCUGGGGAGUACGCACGCAAGUGUGAAACUCAAAGGAAUUGACGGGGGCCCGCACAAGCGGUGGAGUAUGUGGUUUAAUUCGAUGCAACGCGAAGAACCUUACCAGGGUUUGACAUCCUGCGAAUCCCUUGGAAACUAGGGAGUGCCUUCGGGAGCGCAGAGACAGGUGGUGCAUGGCUGUCGUCAGCUCGUGUCGUGAGAUGUUGGGUUAAGUCCCGCAACGAGCGCAACCCACGUCUUUAGUUGCCAGCAUUCAGUUGGGCACUCUAGAGAGACCGCCGGUGAUAAACCGGAGGAAGGUGUGGAUGACGUCAAGUCAUCAUGCCCCUUACAUCCUGGGCUACACACGUACUACAAUGCUACGGACAAAGGGCAGCAAACUCGCGAGAGCUAGCAAAUCCCAUAAACCGUGGCUCAGUUCAGAUCGUAGGCUGCAACUCGCCUACGUGAAGGAGGAAUCGCUAGUAAUCGCAGGUCAGCAUACUGCGGUGAAUACGUUCCCGGGCCUUGUACACACCGCCCGUCACACCAUGGAAGUUGGCCACGCCCGAAGCCGUUACUCCAACCCUUGUGGAGGAGGACGUCGAAGGUGGGGCUGAUGACUGGGGUGAAGUCGUAACAAGGUAACC